ACAAUAUUUUGCUGCCCAUAUUGUUCCUGGUUGUUAACAUUAAUAUUGUUCAGGCUGAACAAUGCUAAACAAUAUUGUUAACAACCAGGCACAAUAUGGGCAGCAAAAUAUUGUUC